rnacentral:rRNA from 1 species
GAUGAACGCUGGCGGCGUGCCUAAUACAUGCAAGUCGAGCGAAUGGAUUAAGAGCUUGCUCUUAUGAAGUUAGCGGCGGACGGGUGAGUAACACGUGGGUAACCUGCCCAUAAGACUGGGAUAACUCCGGGAAACCGGGGCUAAUACCGGAUAACAUUUUGAACUGCAUGGUUCAAAAUUGAAAGGCGGCUUCGGCUGUCACUUAUGGAUGGACCCGCGUCGCAUUAGCUAGUUGGUGGGGUAACGGCCCACCAAGGCAACGAUGCGUAGCCGACCUGGGAGGGUGAUCGGCCACACGGGGACGGAAACACGGCCCAGACUCCUACGGGAGGCAGCAGUAGGGAAUCUUCCGCAAUGGACGAAAGUCUGACGGAGCAACGCCGCGUGAGUGAUGAAGGCUUUCGGGUCGUAAAACUCUGUUGUUAGGGAAGAACAAGUGCUAGUUGAAUAAGCUGGCACCUUGACGGUACCUAACCAGAAAGCCACGGCUAACUACGUGCCAGCCGCCGCAGUAA